CGCUUACGCGGUUGGAUCACUGACUUCGGGUGCUCCCAACUUCCAUGGUGUGACGGGCGGUGUGUACAAGACCCGGGAACGCAUUCACCGCGACAUGCUGAUUCGCGAUCACUAGCAACUCCAGCUUCACGUGGGCGAGUUGCAGCCCACGAUCCGAACUGAGAUCGGCUUUAUAGGAUUCGCUCCUGCUUGCGCAGUCGCUGCCCGUUGUACCGACCAUUGUAGCACGUGUGUAGCCCAAAUCAUAAAGGGCAUGAUGAUUUGACGUCAUCCCCACCUUCCUCCGGUUUGUCACCGGCAGUCCAUCUAGAGUGCCCAACUUAAGUGCUGGCAACUAAAUGCAAGGGUUGCGCUCGUUGCGGGACUUAACCCAACAUCUCACGACACGAGCUGACGACAACCAUGCACCACCUGUCAUCCCUGUCGACCAAAGGCCGAAGACUCCGGUUAAGGAGCUGUCAAGGAGAUGUCAAGAUUUGGUAAGGUUCUUCGCGUUGCUUCGAAUUAAACCACAUGCUCCGCUGCUUGUGCGGGUCCCCGUCAAUUCCUUUGAGUCUCAGUCUUGCGACCGUACUCCCCAGGCGGGGUACUUAUUGCGUUAACUGCGGCACCGACACUCGCAUGCCGACACCUAGUACCCAUCGUUUACGGCGUGGACUACCAGGGUAUCUAAUCCUGUUCGCUCCCCACGCUUUCGUGCCUCAGCGUCAGUUACAGUCCAGAAAGUCGCCUUCGCCACUGGUGUUCCUCCUAAUAUCUACGCAUUUCACCGCUACACUAGGAAUUCCACUUUCCUCUCCUGUACUCAAGUCCAACAGUUCCCAAGGCUUACAACGGUUGAGCCGUUGCCUUUCACCUCAGGCUUGAUGGACCGCCUACGCACGCUUUACGCCCAGUGAUUCCGGAUAACGCUUGCUCCCUACGUAUUACCGCGGCUGCUGGCACGUAGUUAGCCGGAGCUUGCUUCUAAGGUACCGUCACUGCUUCUUCCCUUAGAACAGAAUUUUACGACCCGAAGGCCUUCUUCAUUCACGCGGCGUUGCUGCAUCAGGCUUGCGCCCAUUGUGCAAUAUUCCCCACUGCUGCCUCCCGUAGGAGUCUGGACCGUGUCUCAGUUCCAGUGUGGCCGAUCACCCUCUCAGGUCGGCUACUGAUCGUCGCCUUGGUAGGCCGUUACCCUACCAACUAGCUAAUCAGACGCGGGCCCAUCCUGAACCGAUAAAAUCUUUAACAACAGGGUCAUGCGACCCUAUCGCUUCAUGAGGUAUUAAUCACCGUUUCCGGUGGCUAUCCCUCUGUUCAGGGCAGGUUGCCCACGCGUUACUCACCCGUCUGCCACUUUCCGUAAAGUCCCUUCCACCGAAGUGUCCGUUCCUUUACUUCUCGUUCGACUUGCA
rnacentral:rRNA from 1 species